rnacentral:rRNA from 1 species
UUGAACGCUGGCGGCAGGCCUAACACAUGCAAGUCGAACGGUAACAGGAAGAAGCUUGCUUCUUUGCUGACGAGUGGCGGACGGGUGAGUAAUGUCUGGGAAACUGCCUGAUGGAGGGGGAUAACUACUGGAAACGGUAGCUAAUACCGCAUAACGUCGCAAGACCAAAGAGGGGGACCUUCGGGCCUCUUGCCAUCGGAUGUGCCCAGAUGGGAUUAGCUAGUAGGUGGGGUAACGGCUCACCUAGGCGACGAUCCCUAGCUGGUCUGAGAGGAUGACCAGCCAAAAUGGAAACGAGACACGGUCCAGACUCCUACGGGAGGCAGGAGGGGGGAAUAUUGCACAAUGGGCGGAAGCCUGAUGGAGCCAAGCCGCGUGGAAUAAGAAGGCCUUCGGGUUGGAAAGUACUUUUAGGGGGGAGGAAGGGAGUAAAGUUAAUACCUUUGCUCAUUGACGUUACCCGCAGAAGAAGCACCGGCUAACUCCGUG